GGAAGGAUCAUUAACAAAUCUCUGCGUGCAGUAACAGUCGCAAGGCUGCUACUUGCACACAUAAGCACCCUAGGGCACACGCCCUAGUGUGAGGGGGGAUCAACGGAGCAAUCCACUGGUCUCCCACAGGUCAUUCUGUGACCACAUUAACGCUUGUUUGUUUGACAGAGUUUUAUGUGACAUAAACACAAAUUGACAACUUUUAACAAUGGAUCUCUUGGCUCUUGCAACGAUGAAGAACGCAGUGAAAUGCGAAAAGUAAUGCGAUUUGCAUGAAUCUGUGAGUCAUCAAGUCUUUGAACGCACCUUGCACCGUAUGAGCAAUUGUACGGUAUACCUGUUUGAGAAUCGUAAAGACCCCCUUUCCCUCUCUCGAGGGGGAAGAAUUGUCAGCUGUCCGCAGAGUACUGUGGACUCUGAUUAAAAGCAGUAGGUCUAUGUGGUCAGGCUGGUGGCCUGGGACAUUGUGUGCUAGAGACACGGUUCAUUCGACCGACAGUCUUCCUCACAGUGCGUCCCAGGUCUUACAAGCCGGUCUGGCCAUGGCCUCUUCAGUGCCCCUCUCGUAGUGGCACAACCCCCAACUUUUGAUCUCAAAUCAGGUAAGGCUACCCGCUGAACUUAAGCAUAUCAGUAAGCGGAGGAAAAGAAACUAACAAGGAUUCCCCUAGUAACGGCGAGCGAAGCGGGAAGAGCUCAAAUUUAAAAUCUGGUAGGCACGCCUGCCCGAAUUGUAAUUUAAAGAGGCGUUAUCUGGGUCCAACUAGGUGCUCAAGUCCCUUGGAAUAGGGCGUCACAGAGGGUGAGAACCCCGUCUGGGCAUCAAGGUGGAUCCUACAUGAGGCGCUCUCUAAGAGUCGAGUUGUUUGGGAAUGCAGCUCAAAAUGGGUGGUAAAUUUCAUCUAAGGCUAAAUACUGGCAAGAGACCGAUAGCGAACAAGUACCGUGAGGGAAAGAUGAAAAGCACCUUGAAAAGGGAGUUAAAUAGUGCGUGAAAUUGUUAAAAGGGAAACGAUUGAGACCAGUAUUGGGCUUGGCUGCUCAGCAACGGGUAGGUGUACACGUUGUGUAUUCAGUCAGGCCCGAGUCAGCGUCAGUUUGGGUACCUGGAAAGAGGUCAGAGGAAGAUGGGGUCUGUCUUCGGGCAUUCCUUUUAUAGACUCUGGCUGGCACACGGAACCUGGACUGAGGCAUGCGACCGUAGUACUCAUCAGCCGAGACUAGCCCCCAAAGCCAAGGACUACACGUAGACCUGGGCUGUAAGGGAUGGAGGUAGGCGGAUGCAUACGGUUCCAGGAUGCUGACGAAAUGGUCUUAAACGACCCGUCUUGAAACACGGACCAAGGAGUCUAACAUAUAUGCGAGUAUUUGGGUGGCAAACCCGGAUGCGUAAUGAAAGUGAACCUGGUGAGAACCGGACCCCAUAAAGGACCGGCGCAUCAUCGACCGAACCUUGAAGUCUCCGGAUAGGUUUGAGUAGGAGCAUAUCUGUUGGGACCCGAAAGGUAGUGAACUAUGCCUGGAUAGGAUGAAGCCAGAGGAAACUCUGGUGGAGGUCCGUAGCCGUUCUGACGUGCAAAUCGAUGGUAAAAUCUGGGUAUAGGGGCGAAAGACUAAUCGAACUACCUAGUAGCUGGUUCCCUC
rnacentral:misc_RNA from 1 species